GAGCUGUCAUACUACGUGCACCACGUGGCUAUCAUCAAGACGACGGGAGCUCCCAUACUACGUGCACCACGUGGCUAUCAUCGAGACGACGAGAGCUGCCAUACUACAUGCACCACGUGCUAUCAUCGAGGUGAUGGAAGCUGCCAUACUACGUGCACCACGUGCUAUCAUCGAGGCGACGGGAGCUGCCAUACUACGUGCACCACAUGCCUAUCAUCAUGACGACGAGAGCUGCCAUACUACAUGCACCACGUGCUAUCAUCGAGGCGACGGGUGCUGCCAUACUACGUGCACCACGUGGCUGUCAUCGAGGUGAUGGGAGCUGCCAUACUACGUGCACCACGUGCUAUCAAGGUGACGGGAGCUGCCAUACUACGUGCACCACGUGGCUAUCAUCGAGACGACGGGAGCUGCCAUACUACGUGCACCACGUGGCUAUCAUCGAGACGACGAGAGCUGCCAUACUACGUGCACCACGUGGCUAUCAUCGAGGUGACGGGAGCUGCCAUACUACGUGCACCACGUGCUAUCAUCGAGGCGACGGGAGCUGCCAUACUACGUGCACCACAUGCCUAUCAUCAUGACGACGAGAGCUGCCAUACUACAUGCACCACGUGCUAUCAUCGAGGCGACGGGUGCUGCCAUACUACGUGCACCACGUGGCUGUCAUCGAGGUGACGGGAGCUGCCAUACUACGUGCACCACGUGGCUAUCAUCGAGACGACGGGAGCUCCCAUACUACGUGCACCACGUGGCUAUCAUCGAGACGACGAGAGCUGCCAUACUACAUGCACCACGUGCUAUCAUCGAGGUGAUGGAAGCUGCCAUACUACGUGCACCACGUGCUAUCAUCGAGGCGACGGGAGCUGCCAUACUACGUGCACCACAUGCCUAUCAUCAUGACGACGAGAGCUGCCAUACUACAUGCACCACGUGCUAUCAUCGAGGCGACGGGUGCUGCCAUACUACGUGCACCACGUGGCUGUCAUCGAGGUGAUGGGAGCUGCCAUACUACGUGCACCACGUGCUAUCAAGGUGACGGGAGCUGCCAUACUACGUGCACCACGUGGCUAUCAUCGAGACGACGGGAGCUGCCAUACUACGUGCACCACGUGGCUAUCAUCGAGGUGAUGGAAGCUGCCAUACUACGUGCACCACGUGGCUAUCAUCGAGGUGACGGGAGCUGCCAUACUACGUGCACCACGUGGCUAUCAUCGAGACGACGAGAGCUGCCAUACUACGUGCACCACGUGGCUAUCAUCGAGGUGAUGGGAGCUGCCAUACUACGUGCACCACGUGCUAUUAUCCAGGCGACGGGAGCUGCCAUACUACGUGCACCACGUGGCUAUCACCAAGGCGACGGGAACUGCCAUAAUAUGUGCACCACGUGCAUAUCAGCGAGGCGACGGGAGCUCCCACUUCUCUGCGACAAAUCAAGAAUUCGACGGGGGGGCCUUCAAUAGGCAGCCAGCCAUCUCCGCGACGAAUCAAGAAUUCGACGUGAGUCACGUAGGCACUUGCCAAACUGGCUCCUGCCGACGAGAGGUCGCCAAAGGCACUGAAGGGAGAACCGGCCCGUUGUGAGUCGCUUCCAGCCUCCCAGUAGGUCUGAUGCGCUCUUGCCGCUAAAUGUACGCUAUCAUCCACUAUCUGUAAAUAUUGUAUAAAGUUUUUCGUUUCUUCUU